rnacentral:rRNA from 1 species
GACGAACGCUGGCGGCGUGCUUAACACAUGCAAGUCGAACGGAAAGGCUCCAGCUUGCUGGAGUGCUCGAGUGGCGAACGGGUGAGUAACACGUGGGCAAUCUGCCCUGCACUCUGGGAUAAGCCUGGGAAACUGGGUCUAAUACCGGAUAGGACCUUUCUCCUCAUGGGGUUUGGUGGAAAGUUUUUCGGUGCAGGAUGAGCCCGCGGCCUAUCAGCUUGUUGGUGGGGUAAUGGCCUACCAAGGCGACGACGGGUAGCCGGCCUGAGAGGGUGAUCGGCCACCUUGGGCCUGAUGACCGCCCCAGCCCCCGCCGGGAGGCAGCAGUGGGAAAUAUGGCACAGGGGCGGAAGGCCGGAUGCGGCGGCCCCGCGGGGGGGAGGACGGCUUUCGGUUUGUAAACCUCUUUCGGGGGGGAGGAGGGGAAGGGGACGUUCCCUGAAAAAGAAGCCCGGCCUAACUCCGUC